rnacentral:rRNA from 1 species
GACGAACGCUGGCGGCGUGCUUAACACAUGCGAGUCGAACGGAAAGGCCCUUCGGGGUACUCGAGUGGCGAACGGGUGAGUAACACGUGGGUGAUCUGCCCUGCACUUUGGGAUAAGCCUGGGAAACUGGGUCUAAUACCGAAUAGGACCACGCGCUUCAUGGUGUGUGGUGGAAAGCUUUUGCGGUGUGGGAUGGGCCCGCGGCCUAUCAGCUUGUUGGUGGGGUAAUGGCCUACCAAGGCGACGACGGGUAGCCGGCCUGCGAGGGUGACCGGCCACACUGGGACUGCGAUACGGCCCAGACUCCUACGGGAGGCAGCAGUGGGGAAUAUUGCACAAUGGGCGCAAGCCUGAUGCAGCGACGCCGCGUGAGGGAUGACGGCCUUCGGGUUGUAAACCUCUUUCAAUAGGGACGAAGCGCAAGUGACGGUACCUAUAGAAGAAGCACCGGCCAACUACGUG